AUGUAUGCACCUGCUGGCACGCCGAAUCCUGCGGCUUUCAACGCGCCUGCUGUGCAGAAGAUUCAUGGUCAUAGGCUGGAACUAUCAGAUUGCGGAGAUGAUGAUAUGAAGUCAGUCAUUGGUCGCAUAUCUCCGUCAGCCCGUACAAGUCUAUGGGAUGGUGUGAUCCAACUUAAGAGCAUCGCGGUGUUUGUGCUCGCUUUCUUUAGAAGUGGGGAAAAAAUUCAAGAUAUUGUCUGGCCGAAAACCAUAGAAAUCGAAAGAAGAGUGAAAUGGGGGGAUUUUAAAAAAUUCCUCAAGGAUCUUCGUCACUCUCAAAACCGGUCGAUAAUGGUAAUUUCUCUGUGCUUGAAUGCCGAGUCUUCGAAAGAUGGCUUAGAGGGAAUGAAGGAGGUUGCAAAGAUGUUAAAAGUGAACAAAAGAAUUGGUUUAGCAACAAUAGAAGAUGAUACAUGUAUUUAUGUAUGUCCCGGACAGAAGGAGAUAAUAACAGUCCUUCAAAAAUAUGGUUUCUGGAAAGGCGCGUCAACAGUCCAUACAAACCAAGACUCUUUAAUCGGUUUUGUUGUACGGGACCGAAGAUCACCGGUAAACACAAGCAAGGGAGAGAUAAGCAUUGACAAAAUACAAGAAAUUGGGUUUACUCAUGUGGAAGCACAACAAGUGAUAUAUGAUCAACGAUCAUACCCUGUUCACCCUCUUCAUGUUCCAGUAGAUGAUGGCAUAUAUUUUCGGCGUCCUCCUCUGGUACUAGCAGAGCAAGGUGCAUAUCGUCCAUAUCCUCCUCCUGGACUAAUAAGUCAUGACUUUCAUGCUCGGCAUCCUCCUCCUGGACUACCAGGUCAAGGGUUACAUCCUCGACAUCCUCCUCAUGCCCCAGAAUGUCAAGACGUCUUUCACUCGCAUGCUCCUUGCGCAAGAGACCAAGGUUUCAUUUCCCAUCGUCCUCCCAAUUUUGCACCAGGAUAUUUGAGGCCCUCAACUGGUCAUGGAAACAACAAUGGUUCACUACACUUGAGGCCACCUAGUGGUUCUGCUUCUGGUCGUGUGUGGCCUCCCAUGUCGCACCCAAGGUCUGGGAACGAUCUUUAUGGUUUUGAAAGAUCGAAAGGUUUCUCUCGCUCUAGCUCCACAUAUUACUCUAGAUACGACAAUGGCUCAGGUAGCAGGCCUCGCAACUAA
rnacentral:rRNA from 1 species